ensembl:snoRNA small nucleolar RNA SNORA76
AUGCACUGUCUUCGAACCUCUGGCACCCCUCUUUGUGGCAUGGUGGGUUAAGCUUCUGUACCAUAGUAGUUGCUGGUGCAUAACUGGGGUUGCCUGCCCAAUUGCAGGCAGCCCUUUCAACCCCUAGCUACAAUA